UCGAGGAUCUUUCGCAAUGGGCGCAAGCCUGACGGAGCGACGCCGUGUGAGUGAUGAAGGCCUUCGGGUUGUAAAGCUCUUUCGCCUGGGAACAAGAGAAGACCGUAAAUAGCGGUCUAAUUUGAGUGUACCAGGUAAAGAAGCACCGGCUAACUACGUGCCAGCAGCUGCGGUAAUACGUAGGGUGCAAGCAUUAAUCGGAAUUAUUGGGCGUAAAGGGCGCGUAGGCGGAUCUGUAAGUCAGGUGUGAAAUUCCGGGGCUCAACCUCGGAGCUGCACUUGAAACUGUAGAUCUAGAGGGUUGGCGGAGAAAACGGAAUUCCACGUGUAGCGGUGAAAUGCGUAGAUAUGUGGAAGAACACCGGUGGCGAAGGCGGUUUUCUAGCUAAUACCUGACGCUGAGGCGCGAGAGCAAGGGGAUCAAACAG
rnacentral:rRNA from 1 species